rnacentral:rRNA from 1 species
GUGGCGGACGGGUGAGUAAUGUUUAGGAAUCUGCCCAGUAGCGGGGGACAACAAUCGGAAACGGUUGCUAAUACCGCAUACGCCCUACGGGGGAAAGCAGGGGAUCCUCGGACCUUGCACUAUUGGAUGAGCCUAAGUCAGAUUAGCUUGUUGGUGGGGUAAUGGCCUACCAAGGCGACGAUCUGUAGCUGGUCUGAGAGGACGAUCAGCCACACUGGAACUGAGACACGGUCCAGACUCCUACGGGAGGCAGCAGUGGGGAAUAUUGCACAAUGGGCGCAAGCCUGAUGCAGCAAUGCCGCGUGUGUGAAGAAGGCCUGCGGGUUGUAAAGCACUUUCAGUAAGGAGGAAAAGUAUGUAGUUAAUAUCUGCAUACCCUGACGUUACUUACAGAAGAAGCACCGGCUAACUCCGUGCCAGCAGCCGCGGUAAU